CGAGUAUGGGAUAAUAGGUGGAUGGACCGUCUAGACAUAAAGAGAGCGAGUGUUUCUUGUUUUUGUUAUUUCGUUAUUCAUUUUAAUUGUCCUCUUAAUUUCAACUGGAUCGCCCUUAAUUUUUGAACAUGCAGGCCGGCUGGUUUGGUACGUUGUAGACUUAAUUAUACGCAAUUUGUAGCAUACCACACCCAUAAUUUGUUUC
rnacentral:ribozyme from 1 species